CAGAGCCUGGAUUCAAAUCCAAGUCUUACUAAUGCAGGGCUUUCAUCGUGGGCACUCUUGACCUGUUGGACCAGACAUUUGCUGAGCCCCUGUGAAGUACAAGACCCUGGUCUUAGCCUCUGAGGAUAAAACAAGGAACAAACCAAAAAUUCAGUGCUCACAGAGGUGACAUGUCACAGACAAUAAAGGAA
rnacentral:lncRNA from 1 species